UAUAAUUUUUUACUAUUUGUCUUAUUCAAAAUUUUUUUGAUUGAUAUUUUUGUCUUUAUUAGAUGAUAAAUUAUAAAUAUUACUGUACGUGUGACUAAUUUUUUUCUAAUUUCCUGAAAUUUUUUCAAAUAAGACGAAUGGUCAAACGUUGGACACAAAAACCGAAG
rnacentral:pre_miRNA from 1 species